UCUACCAAAGGAUAAUAGUAUUCCACUGGUCUUAGGCGCCAAAAUCCUUG
rnacentral:tRNA from 1 species